AUUGAACGCUGGCGGCAGGCUUAACACAUGCAAGUCGAGCGAGCGGCGGACGGGUGAGUAAUGUAUGGGAAACUGCCUGAUGGAGGGGGAUAACUACUGGAAACGGUAGCUAAUACCGCAUACCGUCAGAUGGGCCCAUAUGGGAUUAGCUAGUAGGUGGGGUAAUGGCUCACCUAGGCGACGAUCCCUAGCUGGUCUGAGAGGAUGACCAGCCACACUGGAACUGAGACACGGUCCAGACUCCUACGGGAGGCAGCAGGUGGGAAUAUUGCACAAUGGGCGAAAGCCUGACGCAGCCAUGCCGCGUGUGUGAAGAAGGCCUUCGGGUUGUAAAGUACUUUCAGCGGGGAGGCGUUACCCGAAGAAGAAGCACCGGCUAACUCCGUGCCAGCAGCCGCGGUAAUUC
rnacentral:rRNA from 1 species